UACGAAGGGGGCUAGCGUUGCUCGGAAUCACUGGGCGUAAAGCGCACGUAGGCGGACUCUUAAGUCGGUGGUGAAAUCCUGGAGCUCAACUCCAGAACUGCCUUCGAUACUGGGAGUCUCGAGUCCGGGAGAGGUGAGUGGAGCUGCGAGUGUAGAGGUGAAAUUCGUAGAUAUUCGCAAGAACACCAGUGGCGAAGGCGGCUCACUGGCCCGGUACUGACGCUGAGGUGCGAAAGCGUGGGGAGCGAACAGG
rnacentral:rRNA from 1 species